UACAGAGGUCUCAAGCGUUGUUCGGAUUCAUUGGGCGUAAAGGGUGCGUAGGCGGCGCGGUAAGUCGGGUGUGAAAUCUCGGGGCUUAACUCCGAAACUGCAUUCGAUACUGCCGUGCUUGAGGACUGGAGAGGAGACUGGAAUUUACGGUGUAGCGGUGAAAUGCGUAGAUAUUGUAAGGAAGACCAGUGGCGAAGGCGGGUCUCUGGACAGUUCCUGACGCUGAGGCACGAAGGCCAGGGGAGCAAACGGG
rnacentral:rRNA from 1 species